rnacentral:lncRNA from 1 species
UUUCAUCUUACAGGCUCGACGAUCAGAAAUUGAGUUUACCAGAAACAAUCAAAACAGAAUAUCAAAACUUGAAGCUAUGUUAAGAGGUAAUUUUCAAACUAACUAAUAACUCCAUGCCAGUACGUAGCUAGCUACUUAACAAUUCUUAAAUUUAAAAAUCCCACCUCGGCCACUCUGUGCUGUUUGUUUGUAUGUUUGAUUUUUAGUUAUGGUUAAGGUCUUAUAAGUUUUUCUAGUUGGAAUUGGCUAAAAAGUUACUAUAAGCUUCAUCCCCAAGCGUAUAGCUAUUAAGCUACUAGUUAUAAGUUUGAGGAUAGAGCUUAUAGUAACCGCCAUUUUUUUAGCCAAUUUCUACUAGAAAAGUUUAUAAGACCCUAACUAGAAGUAAAAACAAACAUACAUUUGGGUUUUCUAAUAGCUUAGAGCAUUCCUAAGAGCAUUCCCAAUGGUAGGUUUUAAAUCACUUUUAGCAACUUUUAGUAAAAAACUCUUGCCAAUAGUGGGUUUUAACACACUUUUCAAGCAAAACACUUUUAUCUCCUUGGCAAAUUUGCCAAAGAGUUAAAAGUGCCACAUAUGACUAUUUUAUUAAUUAAAAAUUAGAUUUCAUCACAAUGUACACUAUAUUUUUUGGGAAAAGUGAAACCUUAAAUUUUAACCCUUGUUUUAAAACCAACCAUUGGUAACUCUAAAAGUGCUAAUCACUUUUAACAUAAAUUUUAUGCUAAAACCUUUUCUCUCUCUCCUAUGUGGCACCCUUAAAACCCUUUUACUAUUGGGAAUGCUCUAAUGGUAGGUUUUAGCACACUUUUAGUGAAAACACUUGCCAAUGGUAGCUUUUAACACACUUUUCAAGCAAAACGCUUUUAACUCCUGACAAAUUUGCCAAGGAGUUAAAAGAGUUUUAGAGGUGCCACAUAAGAUUGUUUAAUAAUUAAAAUUAUAUUGCAUUAAAUGAUUGUCAUAUUUGUGUUACUUUUAUCUUUCAUUCGAAAACAACCAUCGGCAACUUUAAGAGUAAAAAAACACUUUUAGCAUAGUUUAAUCCUAAAACCUUUACCCUCUCUCCUACGUGGCACCUCCAAACCAUUUUACCAUUGAGAAUGCUCUUAUAAACUAUCAGAACUAGUAUAACUAAAAAAACAAACAUCACCGGUUUUUAUUCUAAGCUCUAGCUCAAAGUUAGUUAACAAUUGAACACUUUCUUUUCUUCUAAACUUAAUUAGGUGCUGCUGGAGACAACAAGUUUACAGGUUGGGUAAACGAGGUUAGUCUUUUUCUUUCUAAUUUUUUGUUGUUGGCAGUUGGCGCUUAACUUUUUAAUUCAAUUUCUCUAAUGUUAAUUACAGGUGUUUUUAACUGAUAAGAAAGAGUACGAAGAUGAAAUUGUAAGGCUCAAAUCUGACAUAAAGACGAUAUUAAUGCUCAAAAAGCUGAUACUUGGUUGCCAAACUGAACAAACAGUCAAAGAAGAAAGCAAACCUAGUGCAGCCAAAGAAGAAAGCAAACCUAGUGGAUAGAGGGGUAUUAUAUAUCUUUGUGGUAUCCAAUAUUAAUUGUUGUUUGUGAUUAGCAAAUUUAUGGCGUUAAUUAGUUCUUGUGUGGUAGUUUUGAUUAGGGAAAAGAAAAAAAAUCGAUCAAGGCACCCAUAGUGGAGCUUCCUGUUUGUUUAUUACAUUGAUCACUCUCAGAGAAUUUGAGGCAAUUUAUAGUUUCCUUAUUUGAAAAGAACAUGCAAGAGUCGUACCUUGUAACACUACAUUAAGUUCUUGAGCAAACAGUCA